AACGGAAAGGCCCCUUCGGGGGUACUCGAGUGGCGAACGGGUGAGUAACACGUGGGUGACCUGCCCUGCACUUCGGGAUAAGCCUGGGAAACUGGGUCUAAUACCGGAUAGGACCGCAUCGUGAGGAUGUGGUGGAAAGUUUUUUCGGUGCAGGAUGGGCCCGCGGCCUAUCAGCUUGUUGGUGGGGUAAUGGCCUACCAAGGCGGCGACGGGUAGCCGGCCUGAGAGGGUGGACGGCCACAUUGGGACUGAGACACGGCCCAGACUCCUACGGGAGGCAGCAGUGGGGAAUAUUGCACAAUGGGCGCAAGCCUGAUGCAGCGACGCCGCGUGGGGGAUGAAGGCCUUCGGGUUGUAAACUCCUUUCAUCAUCGACGAAGGGCUCACUUGUUGUGGGUUUGACGGUAGGUGGAGAAGAAGCACCGGCUAACUACGUGCCAGCAGCCGCGGUAAUACGUAGGGUGCGAGCGUUGUCCGGAAUUACUGGGCGUAAAGAGCUCGUAGGUGGUUUGUCGCGUCGUCUGUGAAAUUCCGGGGCUUAACUCCGGGCGUGCAGGCGAUACGGGCAUAACUUGAGUGCUGUAGGGGAGACUGGAAUUCCUGGUGUAGCGGUGAAAUGCGCAGAUAUCAGGAGGAACACCGAUGGCGAAGGCAGGUCUCUGGGCAGUAACUGACGCUGAGGAGCGAAAGCAUGGGGAGCAACAGGAUUAAAUACCUG
rnacentral:rRNA from 1 species